AGGUUUGUUUGAAACAGACCGCAAUGGAGAGAUCAGCGCCCAGGGAAGUGAGGGAACAGCAGGCUCCUUCCAGCAGCACAUCGGGAUGGGAGCCUGGGACACAGAGGGGGCUCCGAGACCGGGAUUGAUUCGGGACAAAUACUUGAGGGACUAAGAUGCUGUAAUACUUCCUCAGUUCAAAGGGAAGUGUGACCAGCUGCCUCAAACAAACAGCAGGCAAGGACCCAAAGGACCAAGACAAUGUAAUACCAAGUAUACAGAACCAAGUGUGACCAGCUGCUUCGAACAAACAGCAGGU